GUCCCCUGCCUGUCACAUCUGCUGGGAACCCAGUCUGGCUCACUGCCCCAGACAUGCUGCGGGCCCCAGCGCUGCUGCUGGUUCUCCUGGCUCCUGUCACUCAGGUAUCUUCCGACUUGAAAGUGGACAAGAUGUCAGUCACUAGUAAGACUGGGGAGACUGCUUCAUUCACUUGUGAGCUUACACAAGCUGCCAGCUAUCUCCACUUGUACAAACACCAAGAGGGGACGGCCCCACAACGCCUUUUCUACUAUGACAUCUCCAAGGCAAAGAUUGUGUUCGAAUCAGGAAUUAAUCAAGCAAAAUACCAUGUGUAUAAAGGCACAGGGAGGAGCUAUACAUUUGCAAUCCUAAAUCUGGAAGACAGAGAUUCUGGCAUGUACUACUGUGCUGUCUGGGAUGAGCACGACAUAAAAAUCUUCAACAUUGGAACAAAACUUGUCGUCACAGACAGAAACCUUGCUGUAGACAUGUCCCCCAAGCCCACUAUUUUUCUUCCUUCAAUUGCUGAAAUCAACCAUCAUAAGACUGGAACAUAUCUUUGUCUUCUGGAGAAUUUUUUCCCUGAUUUUAUCAAGGUUCAUUGGAAAGAAAAGAACGGCAACAGAGUUCUGCCAUCCCAGCAGGGAAACACCAUGAAGACUAGUGACACGUACAUGCAGUUCAGCUGGCUGACCGCGACUGAAAACUCAGUGGAUAAAGAACACGUGUGUGUCGUCACACAUGAGAAAAAUAAAGGAGGAACUGAUCAAGAGAUUCUUUUUCCUUCAAUAAAUGAAGUUAUCUCCUCCUUUGUCCCUACCACGGAGUCUCCAAAUGAUUGUUUGAACGAUGAAAGCAAAAUCACUGGUAUUGGUUCUACAAAAGCUUGUCUGAAAGAUACAACUGAAGGCCCUGUUACUACUAAUUCUACAAAAGAGUGUCUGAAAGAUGACAACAACACCCUGCAGCUCCUGAGCACCUCUGCCUUUUACACCUACCUCCUGCUCCUCCUCAUAAGUGCCGUCUACUUCGUCAUCACCGCCUGCUGUGUGUGUAGGAGAGCAGCCCUCUGCGGUGCUGGGAAGAGCUCGUGACAGAGGGGGCCACAAAGGGGUCCCCUUUCCCUCAUCAUCUCUUGUCCUGAAAAUUCUCUGCUGAGGAUCUUGCUGGGCUUCCUUUCUGGGUUUGGGUUAUUUCAGAUAUUGUGUAUAUUUUUCUAUUAUUGGGUAAGGGUUUUUCAAACCAUUGUGCAAGCAGACAGCUUUACUCUGCAACAGGGAAUUCUGCCAUUACUCAGGGGCAGGGCCCAGGGCUGGUCCAGGGGAGCCUCUCCCACCUCUGUCCCCACAGCCUCAUCAGCUCCUCCCGCCCCCGAGCCCUCCGCCUUCUGAGCGCACACAGCGGGCAGCUCCCAUCUCCUCCCUCAGCGCCUCCAUCCAGACCACGGCCCCGACCCUCCCUGCCCACACCCUGGAGCCGCCAGCUUGCUACUUAAAUGCUGUAUGUAGAUUUUCAUAAAAGUCACAAAAAAUUUAAAAAUAUAU